GAGGACGCCCUUCCCCCUGUCAUUGAGGAUCGUCAGCUUCUCUGCAAACUUGUGCUGGUAGAUGGAGGGCAGAGACAUCUCUCCAGGUGUGAUGGAUCCUGAGCGGCUCAUCCCAUGCCCCUAUGAUAAAAACCACCAGAUCCGAGCCUCCAGGUUCCCCUACCACUUGGUCAAAUGUGGAGAGAAUAACAAGAAAAGAGCCAAAGAGCUGGCCACGUGUCCCUACAAUGCUCGCCACAGAGUCCCAAAGCGAGAGCUCCAGCUGCACAUCUCCACCUGCACAGACAACAGGGAGUCAGAGCUGUUCAGUGGGACUUCGAUGACUUUCAGUCCCAAGCAGGAACUGAAAGAGACUCCAAGAUCCUGGCAGUGUCCCCCCUGCCAGGAGGACUGGGAGGCAGACGCAAAUGAGUCUGCUGCCACGUCUCCUUUUGUUCUUGGCUUCAAGGCAAACUGUACCUUAAGCGCAAGUCAAAGUGCUGGUGAGACAAGCCAGGAUGGAAACAAGCAAAUGCAGGCCGUGAGCACCUCAGCAGCAGCAUGGACUCCGAAGGGUCACUCCUGGAGAAAUGACAUGGAUUAUAUUAGUCCUCUCAGCUGUAGCAUCACAAUGCGAGUUCACGAGCUGCUUCUUUUCAUCUAAGACCAGUAAAUCCUCUUCAGCCAGUGCUGUCCAGGAUCCAGUCCCCCAUUCGCUAGCUGCAACCCUGCAGAGGCUCUCACUUUUGGAUAAUGGUGUCCAAACUGUGCUAAAGCCUCUUACAGGUAAAGUGUUCCUUGCUGCCCCCUCCCUGCAACAAGACAGUGGAUCUAUUAACUGGGCUGCAUGCAGCAUAGUCUACCCCAGUACAAAGUGCAUUUGUCACAAGCUGCCGUCCCUUUGCGUGAGAGCUACCGCUAGAGGGUUGCAUGCAUCAUAGCUUCUGUAGGCUGAGUUCAUUGUGAACAGCAGGGACUCUUUGGGUGCUUCCACUUCUUCCCCUACUAGCUCUGUGUCAUCCUCUCAUACCCCUGCACUUUAGCCACUCCCUAAAGCCCCACUUGUGGCAGGGGCUGUGUGUACCCCAUACCAGAGUCCCCCAUAUCCCUUCCGUGCUGGAGUCCUUAAUUCUUCCCCCAUGGCAGGGGUUGUGUGCGCAUGCUCCUCCCCUCCCAAUUGCAUUCAGAAGUUGUGCUCUUUCCAAACAGAUGCCAUGAAGUUGAGUGCAGUGUUGUAGCCAUGUUGGUCCUAGGAUAUUAGAGAGAAGAUGGGUGAGGUGAUCUCUCUUACUGGACCAACUUCUACUGGGGAAAGCUUGUCUCUUGACUCACCACCUUGCAUGUAAGGCCUUGCAAACUGGGCCAAAAAUCACUCUUCUGUUGCUUUAGCUAUAGUUAAAACUCUAGCCUGUCUACAGAGUGGGUUCCUCUAGCAAUAAUCAGCAUCACAGAGCUCCCUCUUGAGGGGGCAGAUCUUACAUAAACAGGGAAGGAAACUGGCUGUAAAAGCAGCCCUGGCUGGGCAGAGCGGUGCAAUCUUGUUCUGGCAUCUCAAGUGGAUGGGAGAGUAUUGCGGUUUCCUCUAAUUUGAUUCUUGUCCACACUAUCACUGUUCCUUUAGCGGAUUACUUAGCUUCCCCUAUGUCAGAUCCUUGGAACCAUGUGCUGUGCCCUAGGGAACCCCUCCGUGUGCCUGACCCAAAGGGGUCUGUGAUGUUCUGUAUCUUGUGG